GGAAUUGUUCACAAUGGGCGCAAGCCUGAUGACGCAACGCCGCGUGGGGGAUGAAGGCCUUCGGGUCGUAAACCCCUGUCGAAUGGGACGAAAAGCCCGCGAUUUAACAAAACGCGGGACUGCCGGUACCGUUAAAGGAAGCCCCGGCUACCCCCGUUCCAGCAGCCGCGGUAAUACAGAGGUGGCAAGCGUUGUUCGGAAUUACUGGGCGUAAAGGGCGCGUAGGCGGCCUUCUAAGUCAGACGUGAAAUCCCCCGGCUUAACCUGGGAACUGCGUCUGAUACUGGGAGGCUUGAGUAUGGGAGAGGGAUGUAGAAUUCCAGGUGUAGCGGUGAAAUGCGUAGAUAUCUGGAGGAAUACCGGUGGCGAAGGCGGCAUCCUGGACCAUAACUGACGCUGAGGCGCGAAAGCUAGGGGAGCAAA
rnacentral:rRNA from 1 species